GUAUUCGUAGCUUAAUAACAAAGCAUAGUGCUGAAGCCACUAAAAUGAGCUAAUGCUCCAAAUACA
rnacentral:tRNA from 1 species